UAUAGCCGACCCCAAAUUUUUGAGUUAAAGGCUUAGUUGAGUUGAAUUGCUAUUUCCUCAUCCAGCUCCCCCUUUCCAUGACUAUUGCAAACAAAUAAUCUAUCUCCUGCAAGGAAUCCACCAUCUGCAGUGUCCAAUCCUGCUCCAUAGUCAAUAAGGUCCUGUGUAUCUUUGAGUUUGGCUUUCUUCUACUUGACACCCUGAACAAAAUCUGGUGAACUGUCACCUUACCAGGUUGAUCCACUUUUGGUGCAGUACUGUUUUCUACUUCCUACAACUUUGUUUAUGCACUUCUGAGUUUUCCUUGAACACUUGACAUAGCUUUUCAAGAACCAUGUGAUGUUCCUCUCAAGAAUACCUCCAUCCACUCUGAUAAGAGUGAAAUUGGUGAUGCUUAAUUGGUAAUUUCAGUUUCUCUUGUUGGUUUCAUCUGUUCUCACUGUUCUUGGUUUGGGUUUCCUUUGGUGUUGGUGUCAUAAUGAUGGUUCCCUUUCGCAGAUCUUAGUAGCUUUUCAGUCAGUUGGCGAUUGAUUAGGUCUUUGCCUAAUGCUGUGAGCGAUGCUAUUUAAGGACAAAUAGGAAAAGAAGAGCUUUUUAAUUUUUGUUGUCUACAAACUUUGAAUAGGAACAGAGCGAUGCUGAUUUGGUAUGCAAUUGAUUUUUUUUUUUACCCAUGACUUUCUGGAGGUUAAUAUCUGAUAAAAUUUGAUAUGUGACUCAAUGUAAUGGAUGGUGGAUAUAUAUAUAUAUAUAUAUCAG
rnacentral:misc_RNA from 1 species